rnacentral:tRNA from 1 species
ACGCCGAUGGUGAAGUGGUUAUCAUGCUUGCCUUCCACGUAACAGUGUUAGCAAGCGGCACGGGUUCGAUUCCCGUUCGGCGUA